rnacentral:rRNA from 1 species
UACAGGGGGGGCAAGCGUUGUUCGGAAUUACUGGGCGUAAAGGGCUCGUAGGCGGCCAACUAAGUCACACGUGAAAUCCCCAGGCUUAACCUGGGAACUGCGUGUGAUACUGGAUGGCUUGAAUCCGGGAGAGGGAUGCAGAAUUCCAGGUGUAGCGGUGAAAUGCGUAGAUAUCUGGAGGAAUACCGGUGGCGAAGGCGGCAUCCUGGACCGGCAUUGACGCUGAUGAGCGAAAGCUAGCGGAGCAAACGGG